rnacentral:rRNA from 1 species
AUGGAACAAUACGUCCGCCUCUGGGAGCUCCUGUCGGAUAUCCAGCUUCAUCCUGACACUGAGGACUCCACUACCUGGUCCUUGACCCCUAAUGGGCGCUACUCGGCCAGCUCUGCCUACAAGGUCCAGUUCCUUGCCUCUUUGUCCGGCCAGUUCGGGAACAUCGUGUGGAAGACCUGGGCCCCUCCAAAGUGUCGUUUCUUCGCCUGGCUCGCUGUCUAGAACCGCUUAUGGACCGUUGAUCGUUUGGCGUAA